CCUCUUACGAAUGUCGGAAGGAUCAGUGGCGAUGUGGAUCAGGAGCCUGUCUCUCUCCCGACCUCGUCUGCGAUGGUCAGAUUCACUGUCCAUUAACCUGGGAUGAUGAGGAUCACUGCCCCUUCUCUUGUUCUUCCUCGUCCCCCUACUGCAAGUGUCAGGACAUCAGCAUCGAUUGUCAGAACUUCGGAAUGAUGUCUCUCCCUUCGGACAUAGAACGGCAAAUCUCCCGAUUUUAUCUGGCAGGAAAUUACUUCAACAAUACGCUAAGCACGGAAACAUUUCUCAUCUACCGUCAUUUAGUAUUUCU